rnacentral:rRNA from 1 species
UACGGGAGGCAGCAGUGGGGAAGUAUUGCACAAUGGGCGCAAGCCUGAUGCAGCCAUGCCGCGUGUAUGAAGAAGGCCUUCGGGUUGUAAAGUACUUUCAGUCGUGAGGAAGGUGUUAAGGUUAAUAACCUUAGCAAUUGACGUUAGCGACAGAAGAAGCACCGGCUAACUCCGUGCCAGCAGCCGCGGUAAUACGGAGGGUGCGAGCGUUAAUCGGAAUUACUGGGCGUAAAGGGCACGCAGGCGGUUAAUUAAGUUGGAUGUGAAAUCCCCGGGCUUAACCUGGGAAUGGCAUUCAAGACUGGUUAGCUAGAGUCUUGUAGAGGGGGUAGAAUUCCAUGUGUAGCGGUGAAAUGCGUAGAGAUGUGGAGGAAUACCGGUGGGCGAAAGGCGGCCCCCUGGGACAAAAGACUGACGCUCAUGUGCGAAAAGCGU